UACGUAGGGACCGAGCGUUGUUCGGAAUUACUGAGCGUAAAGAGUGUGUAGGCGGUGUUCCCAGUCUGUUGUGAAAUCUCCCGGCUUAACUGGGAGGGUGCAGCGGAAACUAGAAUGCUAGAGGGUGGGAGAGGUAAGCGGAAUUCCUGGUGUAGCGGUGAAAUGCGCAGAUAUCAGGAGGAACACCGGUGGCGAAGGCGGUUCUCUGGGCCUGUACUGACGCUGAGGAGCGAAAGCGUGGGGAGCGAACAGG
rnacentral:rRNA from 1 species